rnacentral:rRNA from 1 species
GGGGGACAACCCGCCGAAAGGCGGGCUAAACCCGCGUACAUGCCACCGGGGCAUCCCGGAGGCAGGAAAGGCUUCGGCCGGACAGGGAUGGGCAUGCGGCGCAUUAGGCAGUAGGCGGGGUAACGGCCCACCUAACCGACGAUGCGUAGGGGUUCUGAGAGGAAGGUCCCCCACACUGGUACUGAGACACGGACCAGACUCCUACGGGAGGCAGCAGUGAGGAAUAUUGGUCAAUGGUCGGGAGACUGAACCAGCCAAGCCGCGUGAGGGAGGAAGGUACAGAGUAUCGUAAACCUCUUUUGUCAGGGAACAAAGACUGGGACGCGUCCCCGGAUGAGUGUACCUGAAGAAAAAGCAUCGGCUAACUCCGUGCCAGCAGCCGCGGUAAUACGGAGGAUGCGAGCGUUAUCCGGAUUUAUUGGGUUUAAAGGGUGCGCAGGCGGUCUGUUAAGUCAGCGGUCAAAGCCCGGGGCUCAACCCCGGCCCGCCGUUGAAACUGGCAGUCUCGAGUUGGAGAGAAGUAUGCGGAAUGCGCGGUGUAGCGGUGAAAUGCAUAGAUAUCGCGCAGAACUCCGAUUGCGAAGGCAGCAUGCCGGCUCCACACUGACGCUGAGGCACGAAAGCGUGGGUAUCGAACAGGAUUAGAUACCCUGGUAGUCCACGCUGUAAACGAUG